CCUACGGGAGGCAGCAGUGAGGAAUAUUGGUCAAUGGUCGGGAGACUGAACCAGCCAAGCCGCGUGAGGGAUGAAGGUCCAGAGUAUCGUAAACCUCUUUUGUCAGGGAACAAAGGCGGGGACGUGUCCCCGGCUGCGUGUACCUUAAGAACAAGCAUCGGCUAACUCCGUGCCAGCAGCCGCGGUAAUACGGAGGAUGCGAGCGUUAUCCGGAUUUAUUGGGUUUAAAGGGUGCGCGGGCGGUCUGUUAAGUCAGCGGUCAAAGCCCGGGGAUCAACCCCGGCCCGCCGUUGAAACUGGGAGUCUCGAGGUGGAGAGAAGGAUGCGGAAGGCGCGGUGUAGCGGUGAAAUGCAUAGA
rnacentral:rRNA from 1 species